rnacentral:rRNA from 1 species
UUAAGAUACUAAGAGCAUACGGUGGAUGCCUUGGCGAUAUCUGCCGACGAAGGACGUGACAAGCUGCGAAAAGCUGCGGAGAGAUGCAAAUAAUCGGCGACCCGCAGACAUCCGAAUGGAGAAAUCCGGCUGUGAUGAUGCACAGCCAUCCAUGCCCAAGAGCAUGAGAAGGGAACCGGGCGAACUGAAACAUCUAAGUAACCCGAGGAAAAGAAAUCAAACGAGAUACCCCAAGUAGCGGCGAGCGAACAGGGAAGAAGCCCAAACCGGUGAAGGAAACUUUACCGGGGUUGAGGACCAUCAGAACCGCGAAGAACCUUAGCCGAAACUGUUGGGAAACAGUGCCAAAGACAGUGAAAGCCUGGUAGGCGAAAAAGAGAAACGCGGAGAUGGCACCAGAGUACCGCGGGACACGAGAAAUCCCGUGGGAAGCCGGGGGGACCACCCUCCAAGGCAAAACACAGAUAUCGACCGAUAGCGCAUAGUACCAUGAGGGAAAGGUGAAAAGCACCCCGGGAGGGGAGUGAAAGAGAACCUGAAACCGUAUGUUUACAAGCAGUCGGAGACCGCUUAAUAAUAAGGUCGACGGCGUGCCUAUUGAAGAAUGAACCGGCGAGUUACGAAGCCUGGCAAGGUUAAGCAGGAAAUGCGGAGCCGAAGCGAAAGCGAGUCUUAAGAGGGCGCAAGUCAGGAAGCGUAGACCCGAAACCACAGUGAUCUACCCAUGUCCAGGUUGAAACACAGGUAAAAAUGUGUGGAGGACCGAACCUAUAUCCGUUGAAAAGGGUUAGGAUGAGGUGUGGGUAGGGGUGAAAUUCCAAUCGAACGUGGAGAUAGCUGGUUCUCCCCGAAAUAGCUUUAGGGCUAGCCUCAGGGAAAAGAUUGCAGGCGGUAGAGCACUGAUCAGGAGAGGGACCUACCCGGUUACCAAACCCAGUCAAACUCCGAAUGGCUGCAAUCAUACCUGGGAGUCAGACUGCGACUAAUAAGGGCCGCAGUCAAAAGGGAAACAGCCCAGACCAUCAGCUAAGGUCCCCAAUGCCGUGCUAAGUGGCGAAGGAUGUGGCAUUUCAUAAACAACCAGGAUGUUGGCUCAGAAGCAGCCACCAUUUAAAGAGUGCGUAAUAGCUCACUGGUCGAGAGACGCUGCGCCGAAAAUGUCCGGGGCUCAAGCACGGAACCGAAGCUAUGGCAUGAUAGCAAUAUCAUGGGUAGGGGAGCGUUCUUAUAAGGAAGAAGCAUGACCGGAAGGACAUGUGGACAAAUAAGAAGUGAGAAUGCCGGUAUGAGUAUCGAAAAGAAAGGUGAGAAUCCUUUCCACCGAAAGCCCGAGGGUUCCUGAGCAACGAUCGUCGACUCAGGGUAAGUCGGGACCUAAGCCGAGGCGGAAAGCGUAGGCGAUGGACAACAGGUUGAAAUUCCUGUACCGGAUCAAGUCGAUUGAGCGAAGGAGCGACGCAGGAGGGCACAUGAUCGCGCGGCUGGAAGAGCGCGUCCAAGUGCGUAUGUUGCAGCAGAGGAAAACCCCUGCAGCUAAAAGCAGAGACAUGAAGGGGAGUUAAAGGAAACUUUGACGAACUCAUGAAUCCCACACUGCCAAGAAAAACUUCUAGCGAGACAAGAUCCGCCCGUACCGUAAACCGACACAGGUAGGCGGGGAGAGAAUCCUAAGGUGCGCGGGAAAACCCUCGUUAAGGAACUCGGCAAAUUGCAUCCGUAACCUAGGGAGAAGGAUGGCCCCCGGUCAGUGAAGAGCAGAAACGCUCAGAGCUAAAAGGGGCGGCAGAAAAGAGGCCCAAGCAACUGUUUACCAAAAACACAGGUGCCUGCGAAAGCGAAAGCUGAAGUAUAGGUGCUGACGCCUGCCCGGUGCCGGAAGGUUAAGGAGAGAAGUUAGCGAAAGCGAAGCAUCGAACUGAAGCCCCGGUGAACGGCGGCCGUAACUAUAACGGUCCUAAGGUAGCGAAAUUCCUUGUCGGGUAAG